GUGUGUUGAGGAAGGAACUUCGUAAAAUCAACAGGAGUUACAACACUCCUGAGCUCCCUGCAAAGGGUGUAUACAGCUUCUAGAAGACUCCUUUCCCUUCUAAUCCAGGGAGUGGCUCAUAUAACUGCCCUUGAACUUUAGCUGAGCAAUGGUCAGUAAUAUUGCAGAGGUUUGCGUAUAAACCUGUAAAAUUGUAUGAGGUGGGAAAAGGAAGUAAGAUUGUAGGAGCAGAGCCUUGAAUUUCGCGGGGAAGUGGGUGGAUUGAUGAGCUACAGAGUUUUGAAUAUUUUGGAGUGAAGAAAAGAGCUAAAUCGAAAUCACUUUAAAAGUCUUUUGGUAUUUUUUUAUUUGAUUACUUCUUCCUUUCAAUCUUUGUGCUUCAUUCAGAAACUGCACAA
rnacentral:lncRNA from 1 species